GCUGAUUACUAUUGGUUAUCGUAUCAUCGAACAACAACGCUGGUUGAUCAGCGAUUUCAUCAUCAAUCAGAAAGUCUUCUCUACCAUCAGACAAAGAUAAAGAAUUGGAAGCGUUUGUUGGACUCCCUGGACUUGAAGGUUUACCAGUGGAGCUUUCAUGAUUUUCUGACGUUGAUGACGAACUGCAGUUGAUGCUGUCAACAGGUGACGGCUCAUCAGCAAUCAAAGGUACACUGAUAUUCGAUGCAGCUAUGGCUGCAAAUGUUGGAUCAACCAAUGAGAGUCUAUUAUGAGCUUUAGCUGAAAUCAGACUCUCGAUUGAAGCUUCCAUAACAGGUAAAACAGCUGGAAUGACUUUAUCUCUGCUCUCAUCGCUGGAACUGUUACAAACCGAUGAGAAUUCCUCAGCCAUUGCUUCACCAGCAUGCGAAGACCACAUUUGAUCAUCUGAACUGCCUGCAUCGCGUGUAACCUGCGGUUUUUUGAUGAAUUUCGCGAUUUUUUCCAGGCGUUUAAAAGGUUGGUCUUCUUCGCAGUGACUGGAAGCUUCUGAUGAUGUAAAAGAGUUCUUCCUUUGCAUCUGACAACGAUUUUCUGUCAUUUUUUUAUCAAUUACAUUGCGUUGGUAUUCCGCGGCUCUAUCACGAACGUUUCCUGUACUAGGACUGAUCCUAGUGUAAUUAUUACUGAAACUGCUCAAUGUGGGCACUGGUAGGUCGGCCAUGUUGUCAUCGACGUCACGAACAUCGAAAGUGUUUCUAUUUACAAUCACUUCGAGUGUUCGUGGCUUGACAAACUUAGAAUUACGUAUUCUCCGUGACAUCGGUGACUUUUCCAAUUGUUUGAUGUUUUGAUUAUCGCCACAGUUGCUACCAACGCCUGAAUCUUCAGUAAAAUAUGAUUCAUCACCGGAUGUGCCUGCAGUUCGUCCUUUUUCGCCUUGUUUCUUACUGUUGUUAGCCAGCGUCUUUGCUGUUUUACUCUCGAGUAACUUAAUCGGUUGUGGUCUUGGUAAUUGAUUCGUCUGUAAAGUAUACUUUCCAACUCUUCCGACAUUUUUAUUUGAAUCUGUAUUGAUCAGUUGUAGAUGGCGCUGUUGCAUUUCAACUUUAGCUUUGAUUUCGUUCUCGAUUUGCUCACGUUCUUGAUUAUUAUUCGCGUAUUCAAUGCGUGUUGGUGGAUUUAUGUUGAUAUCAGCGACGCGGUUUAAUCUAUUAGCGUUAGGUUGACGGAAACCGAAGCGGCUGGGUUUGGUGGUGGCUUGCGCUUCUUUUUUCGGUGCUGGGAGCCGAUGUGGGGUUGAUUUACCGGAUGGCACUGCGUUGGAGGUGAGAGAUGCUGUGUCAUGGCUGGAAAUUGGAAUUGUGUGUGGUUGUUCUACACCGGUAUUGCCAUUACUAUCGACUGAUUCGGUUGCGUUGGCUAAUCGUCUUGCUGCUGUGGGGUUGUUGGUUGUUAGCGUGCAUGCGGGUGGUGCUGAUGUUGGCUUUUUGCGGAAUCCGAAAGAUGUCGCUACGCCUUUUGUGGCUUGUUUCUUCAUUGGUGGUUUUAUCUCUUCCUCAGGACUCUGGAAAUUUAAUAUGAGUUAAGUUAGGUUAUGAUUUCUUUAAAAUGAUGUUGAGGUUAAGUUAACAUCGUGCAGGAGGUGUAAUUAUGCUUGUAGCAUGUGGAACACAAUGGAAUGAGCAUAAUUAGGAACAGAUUGCCAAUUAACAUUCACUUUUCCACCUUUCACUGCAGUGUUUUGUGGAACAAUGAUUGGUUUAAUUGAAGGCACAAUUUAUUUGUUUUUUGUAAACAAAACUUAACAUAAACAGUUAUGUUUUAUAUGUUUUAGACUACAGUCUCUAAAAAACUAAAGUAAGUAGUUUUGAUAAGUACUUGAAGCAAUAAUGACUCUAUUUUCCGUUUGAACGAAGACGAUUUACCAACUCAUUUAAUUCCGCACUUGAGUUGGCAACGCAUACGAAAUGUAGAGAAGAAAAAACGUACCGUACCGAAAUUACUCGUAAGUUAUGUAUUUGUUAUAAUCACGUCGUUUUUGACAUACAUACCAAGCAGAUUAAAUCAGAAAUUGUAAAAAACUAGAUAAUGACGUGUAUAACAUCGAAAAUAUGUGUUAAUUCUUCAAAACACUCACUAAAUUUAAAGGUAAAUAUUUUUAGAUGUACUUUGCAGUCUGAUUAAUACAUAGUAGGUUUAUUUUGAAGCUUUUAGUGCUUUGACUGCAGUGCGCGAAAGCACAAAGCACUGAAAUCGAUUUAAGUGAACUUGAAAAUUUACGACAAUGUGCUUUACUCACGCAAUAUUGAUUUGUUUCGCGAGUUGACUCCCUAAACGCUUUUCUACUAUUCUAACGAUUCCAACAAUUUGGCAGAUAGAAUUAAUUCACUUUCAUAAAUAUUUAUGAAGGUAUUUUUGUGAUAAUAUGCGGGUAAUAAACUUCGUUAUGUAUGCAACCCACAAUGCAGAUAAAUCUAUGGUUAUAAAAUAACUUACAAAAUAUACACAAAUGUUGAACUUUUUCUUUGGGAAUCGUUAUGAAUUCUUUAUAUUCUUCUUUCUUUGUGUUUUUUUUAUUGUUUGGUAUUCAUCCUUUCAUAAACUAGUUUUUAUGAAAUGGAAUCAAAUCUGUGUCAUCUUUUCAAUAGAUUUUAAGCUGGUGAUAGUGUAGGUUAAGCCUUAAAAUAUGAGUGUGAGACACGAUGCAAAAGGUGAACGAAUGACCAACCUUUCCAACUGUUUCCAACCUUUUGAUAGCAUCGUCUCUUUGGUGCUUCUGCUUGUACAGACCACAGACAGCUCGGGUUUGCCAAACUUCCGGAAAGUCUUCGAUUGCAGAACUGCGGUUGGGGUUGUUUUAACGCGAUGGAGAAUUCGUGCGAGCGUUAUCAUCGAUCCGCGCGAGUGCGGCGGCGUGGCGGCGGUGACGACCAUGCGC